GUGCCAGCCGCCGCGGUAAUACGGAGGAUCCGAGCGUUGUCCGGAUUUAUUGGGUUUAAAGGGUGCGUAGGCGGAUUACUAAGUCAGGGGUGAAAGCCGGUAGCUUAACUAUCGAAUUGCCUUUGAAACUGGUAGUCUUGAAUACUGUUGAGGUAGGCGGAAUGUAUCAUGUAGCGGUGAAAUGCUUAGAUAUGAUACAGAACACCGAUUGCGAAGGCAGCUUACUAAGCAGUUAUUGACGCUGAGGCACGAAAGCGUGGGGAUCAAACAGGAUUAGAAACCCCCGUAGUCC
rnacentral:rRNA from 1 species